GAUGAACGCUAGCGGCAGGCCUAACACAUGCAAGUCGAGGGAGAAGCCCUUCGGGGCAGAAACCGGCGCACGGGUGCGUAACGCGUAUGCAACCUACCUUUCACAGGGGGAUAGCCCGAAGAAAUUUGGAUUAAUACCCCAUAAUAUUGUUGGAUGGCAUCAUCUGGCAAUUAAAACUGAGGUGGUGAGAGAUGGGCAUGCGUCCUAUUAGCUAGUUGGAGUGGUAACAGCACCCCAAGGCUACGAUAGGUAGGGGUCCUGAGAGGGAGAUCCCCCACACUGGUACUGAGACAGGGACCAGACUCCUACGGGAGGCAGCAGUGAGGAAUAUUGGUCAAUGGUCGGAAGACUGAACCAGCCAUGCCGCGUGCAGGAAGAAUGCCUUAUGGGUUGUAAACUGCUUUUAUAUGGGAAGAAUAAGGUGUACGUGUACA
rnacentral:rRNA from 1 species